rnacentral:rRNA from 1 species
UACGUAGGGGCCGAGCGUUGUCCGGAGUUACUGGGCGUAAAGCGCGCGCAGGCGGCCUGUCGCAUCACCGGUGAAAGCCCCACGCUCAACGUGGGAGGGUCCGGUGAGAUGGGCAGGCUGGAGGCAGGGCGAGGCCGGUGGAAUUCCGGGUGUAGUGGUGAAAUGCGUAGAGAUCCGGAGGAACACCAGUGGCGUAGGCGGCCGGCUGGACCUGUCCUGACGCUGAGGCGCGAAGGCGUGGGGAGCGAACGGG